rnacentral:rRNA from 1 species
GAUGAACGCUGGCGGCGUGCUUAACACAUGCAAGUCGAACGAUGAAGCCCAGCUUGCUGGGUGGAUUAGUGGCGAACGGGUGAGUAACACGUGAGUAACCUGCCCUUAACUCUGGGAUAAGCCUGGGAAACUGGGUCUAAUACCGGAUAGGAGCGUCCACCGCAUGGUGGGUGUUGGAAAGAUUUAUCGGUUUUGGAUGGACUCGCGGCCGAUCAGCUUGUUGGUGAGGUAAUGGCUCACCAAGGCGACGACGGGUAGCCGGCCUGAGAGGGUGACCGGCCACACUGGGACUGAGACACGGCCCAGACUCCUACGGGAGGCAGCAGUGGGGAAUAUUGCACAAUGGGCGCAAGCCUGAUGCAGCGACGCCGCGUGAGGGAUGACGGCCUUCGGGUUGUAAACCUCUUUCAGUAGGGAAGAAGCGAAAGUGACGGUACCUGCAGAAGAAGCACCGGCUAACUACGUG